UUUAUUAUUUGAUUUUUAGGUUUAAAGCAUUUGAAUUGAACAACUUUUUAAAUUUGUAGACUGCUAUUUUUUGUGUUAUAUUAUUUUAAAAGCUGAGAUUCAGUAUAAUACUUGAGGAAAAUUACUUGGAGAUUGAUCUUUUUUUCUCAUCUUCAGAUGUUGAGCAAAAUAAUUUUGUAUGUUGCUAAUAUCUCAAAAUUUAUUUUAUUUUUUUGUAGUAAUUUCCUGUAAUUUUAUUUCGACACAUUUGUCAGUUGUCAUAACUACCAAUGUUGGUUAUGUUGUCUGGUAUAAAAUUCAAUAUUUUCUAUUUGUUUUUUUUUAAUACUUCUAUUGAAAUUUUUUUUAGUGGCUCAUUAGAAACUUCAUUAGUGACUGGUUUGUAUUUCUAGAAAGGUUGAAUCAUUAUACAUAUUUGAGAUAAUGAUUCAUUUGGAAUAUGAAUGAAGAAAAUGAAGAG